rnacentral:rRNA from 1 species
GGCUCAGAACGAACGCUGGCGGCGUGCUUAACACAUGCAAGUCGAACGCGAAAGGGGACUUCGGUCCUGAGUAAAGUGGCGCACGGGUGAGUAACGCGUAGAUAACCUGUCUUCAUGUCUGGAAUAAUACGCCGAAAGGGGUACUAAUACCGGAUAUUCUUGCUUUUCAUAAGUUAUGCAAGCAAAGGUGGCCUCUGCAUAUGCUACUGCAUGAAGAGGGGUCUGCGUACCAUUAGCUAGUAGGUGGGGUAAUGGCCUACCUAGGCGACGAUGGUUAGCGGGUCUGAGAGGAUGAUCCGCCACACUGGCACUGGAACACGGGCCAGACUCCUACGGGAGGCAGCAGUGAGGAAUAUUGCGCAAUGGGGGAAACCCUGACGCAGCGACGCCGCGUGAGUGAGGAAGGCCUUCGGGUCGUAAAGCUCUGUCAAGAGGAAAGAAGUGUACAAUGGCUAAUACCUGUUGUAUUUGACGGUACCUCUAAAGGAAGCACCGGCUAACUCCGUGCCAGCCGCCGC